rnacentral:lncRNA from 1 species
AGAAAUUCCUAUAUUGUAAAAAUUCCAUGCAAGUGAUAUUGGAAUACUUACAUGUGUGAUUUUAAAAAUAACUUUCACAGUGUGUAGAUCAGGACCUGUACAAUUCUCCCCUGCUGAAGACUUGUAAAAGUACCUGCUUUUUUUUAGAUUGCUUUGUUAAAGCAGCAAGAUUUAUCUACAUUGAAUUUGUGAUCCUCUUCUUCCUUCUGCCUUUCUCUACCUGAAAUCUACAUAAUCUCUGGCCAGUUUUUGGUCUGAUAGUACAAGAGGUGUGUCCAGGAUAUUGUCUUUGUUUCUGGGAGAAAAAGCUGAAAAAAGGGAGGGAUCCUAUUAAUGUCCCAGCAAGCAGCAGGAGCUCAACCUUGACAAAUUCCACAAAGGAGUUCACAGUGAGAACUCUGUAUUGCAUCUUCAUUCCAAGACAUAAAAACCUCUAUAUCCACUAACUGUGCUGUGCUGUGACACCAACACUGGCUGUCAAUAUAGAUUCCUGGAUGAUGCCUGCACAUUCAAAUACUCAUGGUAAUUUCAGCUAAAAGUUUUCUUAUAACUCAAAAGAUAUAUUUUGUACAAUAUUUACCAUUACUUCCUAAUAUACAUUUAGAAGGAAAGUUGUUGUUUUGCUGAGUAGAAGUAAAUGAAGGGGUGUGUGUGUGUGUAUAUAUGCAUUUGACAAAAAACAAUCCAAAAUUUUAAUAUAUCUUUUUAGAUUUACA